rnacentral:rRNA from 1 species
GUAGGUGGCAAGCGUUGUCCGGAAUUAUUGGGCGUAAAGCGCGCGCAGGCGGUCCUUUAAGUCUGAUGUGAAAGCCCACGGCUCAACCGUGGAGGGUCAUUGGAAACUGGGGGGCUUGAGUACAGAAGAGGAAAGCGGAAUUCCAAGUGUAGCGGUGAAAUGCGUAGAGAUUUGGAGGAACACCAGUGGCGAAGGCGGCUCUCUGGUCUGUAACUGACGCUGAGGCGCGAAAGCGUGGGGAGCAAACAGGGAUUAGAUACCCUGGUAGUCCACGCCGUAAACGAUGAGUGCUAAGUGUUAGGGGGUUUCCGCCCCCUUAGUGCUGCAGCUAACGCAUUAAGCACUCCGCCUGGGGAUACGGCCGCAAGGCUG